rnacentral:rRNA from 1 species
GACGAACGCUGGCGGCGUGCCUAAUACAUGCAAGUCGAACGCACUCUCGUUUAGAUUGAAGGAGCUUGCUCCUGAUUGAUAAACAUUUGAGUGAGUGGCGGACGGGUGAGUAACACGUGGGUAACCUGCCCUAAAGUGGGGGAUAACAUUUGGAAACAGAUGCUAAUACCGCAUAAAACCUAACACCGCAUGGUGUAGGGUUGAAAGAUGGUUUCGGCUAUCACUUUAGGACUGGACCCGCGGUGCAUUAGUUAGUUGGUGAGGUAAAGGCUCACCAAGACCGUGAUGCAUAGCCGACCUGAGAGGGUAAUCGGCCACACUGGGACUGAGACACGGCCCAGACUCCUACGGGAGGCAGCAGUAGGGAAUCGUUCCACAAUGGACGAAAGUCUGAUGGAGCAACGCCGCGUGAGUGAGAA